rnacentral:tmRNA from 3 species
GGGGUCGCCUGGUAUUGACAGCGAGUUGAGGCAAUACGUAUAAGCAUGUCGGGACGUGAGCGUCAGUCCUGUUAAAAACACGUUCAAAAUUUAGCUGGCGAAAAUAGCUACGCUAUGGCUGCUUAAUUCGAAGUAAUUAAGUAAUUGCCAUCGUUCCUCCAACCUCUGCUCUGUGGGUUGGGUUCAGGAGCGUCGAAAUGCAGAGCUGGCUUGGUAAAUGGUGUUGAUACCGAGCGAGAUAAAAUACCUAAGGUGCUGAUGUAGGUCUGGUUUGAACCUUGCCAACGCUCGAAAAUCCAAUCAAACCUAAGCAUGUAGAAGGCGUACGGUUUCCUUGUUCUGGACGCGGGUUCGAAUCCCGCCGACUCCACAA